GCGGGUGAAACGUAGACAGCGACGUGCCUGCCUUCCAAGCAGGACAGCGCGGUGCAAGUCCGCGCCCCCGCACCA
rnacentral:tRNA from 1 species